GUCCUCCAGCAGUCCAGGAUUCUUCACCCGCGACCCUGCCAAGUCAUCAGCCUGUAGGGGAUGGAGGAACAGAGAACAAAAGGAAGAUUUCAACUUCAAACGGCAAACCAGAGGUACAGAAGUUUUCUCCCCGGAAGACGCAACCAAGGGUAAGGAAAAAAAGUUUAUUUUGUAAACUGAACUUGUACAUAGAGAAAAGAAAUUAACUAGAAAAAAAAAUACACCUUAGGCAACAUUUCCUUCAUAAUAUACUAAUUUACAAGAAAUCAGUAGAAAAUAUAGGAAAAAAAAACAAGGAAAUAAACAAACAUAAUUUUCUACACAACAACAACAACAACAACAACAACAACAACAACAACAACAACAACAACAACAAUAACAUCAACAACUCCUCCGCCUAUCAUGUACACCCAUACUCAAUAAUAACUCAAAUGGCCCUUUAAAUAUCCCCUUUAAAUGUCUCU